rnacentral:rRNA from 1 species
UUAAUAAGAUUAAUUUUAUAAUUUUAAAUUAAUAUUUUAUUAAAUUGAAUAAUAAAAAUAUUUUUAUUACUUAUAAUUUUAGUAAAUAUUUUAAUAAAAGAAUUGAUUUAUAGUUAAAUUUGUAUUGAAAAAGAAUUUAUUAAAUUUAUUAGAUGAAUUUAAUUAAGAAAAUUUUAUUUUUUGUAUCUUGUGUUUCAGAGUUAAUUAAAUAUUAAUUAAAUUAUUUUUUUUUCUUGAAAAGUAAGGAUUUAAUUAAAUAUUUAAGUUAAUGUAUUAUAAUUAUUUAAAAUAUUUAAUUGGAAUUUAUAAAUUAAAUCGUUUUACUUUAUAUCUAGUUUUUUUAGAAAUAAAUUUAAUUUAUUUUUUUUUAAAAUUUAAUAAUAUUUAUUUAUUUUAAAUUAUUAUAAAAAUUAAUUAAUUUUUGGGUUAAGCUAAAAAUUAAAUAUUAAAAUUAAUUUUAUUAUUUAAUUUAAGUUGUUUAUGAAUUAAAUUUUCAGUUAUUUUUAAUUUAUUAAAUAAAAUUCUUAAAUAUACACAAAAUUUUUUAUCUAAAAAUUUAUAUAUUUAUAAAAAUUUUAAUUAAAAUUUAAAAAUUUUAAUUGAUUAUGAUUAAAUUAGUAUAAAUAAUUAAAAUAAAAAUAGAUAUAAUUUAUUAUUUCUAAAAUAGAUUUAUUAAUUCGGCAUUAAAUAAUAAUUCAACUGUUUAACAAAAACAUUUCUUUUUGAUUUUAUAAAAAGUAAAAUCUGCCCACUGAAAUUUUUAAAGGGCUGCAGUAUUUUAACUGUACUAAGGUAGCAUAAUAAAUUGUUUUUUAAUUGGAAACUGGAAUGAAUGAUUAAAUGAAAUUAUAACUUUCUUAAUCUAUAAUUAUAAAAUUUUAUAUUUUAGUAAAAAAGCUAAAAUUUAAUUAAAAGACGAGAAGACCCUAUAGAUUUUAAUAUUUAAUAUUAAGUAAUUAUAACAUUUAAUUUUAAAUAUUUUAUUGGGGUGAUAAAAAAAUUAAAUUAACUUUUUUUAUUUUUAACUAUAAUAUUUGAAAUUAAUUAUUUUAUUUUAAUGAUUUAAGUUUUUAUAAAAAAUUAAUUACCUUAGGGAUAACAGCAUAAUUUUAAUUUAAAGAUGUUAUUUAAAUUAAAGAUUUUGACCUCGAUGUUGGAUUAAGAUAAAAAUUUUAUGAAGUAGUAUUAUUUUUUAGUCUGUUCGACUAUUAAAAUCUUACAUGAUCUGAGUUCAGACCGGUGUGAGCCAGGUUGGUUUCUAUCUUUUAUUAUUUAAAUAUAAUUUAUAGUACGAAAGGAAUUAAGUUUAUAAUUUUAAUUAUAUUAUUAAUUGAUUAUGAAUUAAAGUAAUAGUUAAGUAAAAUUAUUUUAUAAAUAUUUUUUUUUAUUUUAA